rnacentral:rRNA from 1 species
GAUGAACGCUGGCGGCGUGCCUAAUACAUGCAAGUCGAGCGAACAGACGAGGAGCUUGCUCCUCUGACGUUAGCGGCGGACGGGUGAGUAACACGUGGAUAACCUACCUAUAAGACUGGGAUAACUUCGGGAAACCGGAGCUAAUACCGGAUAAUAUAUUGAACCGCAUGGUUCAAUAGUGAAAGACGGUUUUGCUGUCACUUAUAGAUGGAUCCGCGCCGCAUUAGCUAGUUGGUAAGGUAACGGCUUACCAAGGCAACGAUGCGUAGCCGACCUGAGAGGGUGAUCGGCCACACUGGAACUGGAACACGGUCCAGCCUCCUACGGGAGGCAGCAGUAGGGAAUCUUCCGCAAUGGGCGAAAGCCUGACGGAGCAACGCCGCGUGAGUGAUGAAGGUCUUCGGAUCGUAAAACUCUGUUAUUAGGGAAGAACAAAUGUGUAAGUAACUAUGCACGUCUUGACGGUACCUAAUCAGAAAGCCACGGCUAACUACGUG